rnacentral:lncRNA from 1 species
UUUGAAUAUGCAACCCUUUAAAAUAUUGCCUUUUCUUUUGGAUAUGCAACCCUUUAAAGUAUUGCCUUUUCUUUUGAGCGCAAGGCAGAGACGGUGCUGGAGGUGAAGAAAGUGGCGGUGGCAACUUCUCUCUCCGUCGUCUUCUUCUCCUUCUUUCUCUUCUUCCUCCUUUGAUGGCAGUUCUCCCUUUCUUUUCUUCUCUUCAUCACUCUCUGUCUCUCUCCUCUCACCGUGCAUUUUUUUUCUUCUGUCUUCUCUUUUUUCCGUGCAACGAAAACCC